rnacentral:rRNA from 2 species
ACAGUGGACGCGAGCAUCUUUGUGGUCAAGUUGUCAAGGGCGAACGGUGGAUGCCUUGGCACCAGGAGCCGAUGAAGGACGU